AUUCUGUGUGAGCUUGGGCAAGCCACCUAAUCUCUAUGAGCCUCGGUUUGCUGACUUGUAGGAUUGGUCAGGCACCACGUCUGCUGCUGCUGAAGUCUUCCCCGGAUACUCUGGGCACUUUCCAACAUUAACUGGAUUGAUGCUCAUCACCAGUGGGGCAGUUUCUAAGGAUCGCUCUGCUUCGAAAGUCGUAACUGACGCUGGGAGAAGGGGGACGGGGCGGGGGAGCCUCACUAUUCACCCGAACUACUUCCAUUAACGCUGACACAAAGAUUUAAAGUCAGUUUUUAAAAAUUUAAAGUCCCUGUUUUCCUAAUUAUAGUGAUGUAGAUUUCAAGCAUCUGAUGAGUCAGAAGGUAAAAUUAAUAUUUGGGCUGCUGUAACGAAUACCACACCCUUUGUAGCUUAGAGCCGCAGACAUGUAUUCUUGCAGGGCACGGGCGCCAGAAGCCCUACCAGAGGGUUGAUGGAGCUGCAGUCCCCGGGGCACUCUGGAGAGAACCUGCCCCUGUCCUUUUGGCUUCUGUGGCUCCACCUUGCCUUGUGGCUUUGUCCUCUGACCUCUCCUCUGUGCUCACUCUGUCUCCACCCCUCCUGUCCCUGACAAAUCUCCCUCUUCCAUCUCUAGUCAGAACGCUGGUCCCUGGGUGUAGGGACCAGUUGUCGUCAGGGUUUGCAAAGGAAACAGAUUUAAUACAGAACACAUAAUUUAUAGGACAAUUUUAUAAUAGUCACCCAAAAAGUCAAAUGCAGAGGAGUGCAGGAGAUCUGUCCACACCCUAGAGACCUGAAGAAUCCAGCCAGAGGCCUGGAGCCCACGGCAGUGUCUCCUACAAGUCCACAUCGAGGAUCUGCACCGGGAAGGCCAAAGGCCAGGGUGGAAGCCAGAAAGCCUGUGCCAUGGGGUGAAGGGUCUGCGCCACCAGGCUGAGGGAUCCGCACUGGAGCCAGGAAGCGACGCUCAUGGUGAAGACCAGAGCUCCCCUAAGGAGAACAGCAGCCCUCCCCAGGGACAGCGGAACAGCGGAACAGCAAGGCCCUGAGCUCCUCCUCCAAGAAGAACAGCCAAGUUCGCAUCAGGGAAACCACCCGUAGCAAGCUUCUCCGGGAAAAUCAACAGCCCUGGAUCUUCCCCUCUGGUUCUCUCUUUAUCCCGUUGGCAACAAUCCUCAGCUCUGAUUUGACUGCUCCCCAUCUCUGGGCUUCUCACCGCCAUAGUCCAGGCCAGGCCAGUGGAAGCACAGACAGCUGUUUGUCUAGAUGUGUGGACUGGGGUCACCUGUUCUGAAAUCCACUUGCGAAGUGUUCCGGGUUGCAGCCCUCCGCCUGCUCACCCUGGACAACCCACUCCUCUCCACGUUCUGCUUAUUGAAAGCCACUGCAUAUUG
rnacentral:lncRNA from 1 species